UACGUAGGGGGCAAGCGUUGUCCGGAUUUAUUGGGCGUAAAGAGCGUGUAGGCGGCCGUACAGGUCAGCUGUGAAAACUCGAGGCUCAACCUCGAGACGUCGGUUGAAACCGUAUGGCUAGAGUCCGGAAGAGGAGAGUGGAAUUCCCGGUGUAGCGGUGAAAUGCGCAGAUAUCAGGAGGAACACCGGUGGCGAAGGCGGGUCUCUGGGCCGAAACUGACGCUGAGGAGCGAAAGCGUGGGGAGCAAACAGG
rnacentral:rRNA from 1 species